GUGCAUAUAACACACUGCCUAGGGCUGGGUUUUGUCCUUCUAGUACAGAGAGCUGUUAGGUGGUGAUCUGUGGGACUUGGAUGUUGGUAAAAGUUUUGGACCUGGAUAUCGGUGAAGUUUUGGACUCGGAUGCUGGUGACUUCUUGUACUUGACAGAUUGGUCUUGGUACGAGCAUUUAUAUCGACAAAGAUGAGGAAGUGGGAAAUGGCUCAAGGCAACACCCUACAGUACAACUCCUUUGACGAAGAGGCUUUAACAGAGCACUAUCAAAUCCUAAAGACCCUUGGUCGGGGAGCAUUUGGAGAAGUAAAAUUGGCUAGCCAUCUACUCACCCAGACAAAGGUAGCAGUAAAAGUUCUCCCAAAAAGCUCAAAGAACAUCUUCAUCAAAUCAGAAAUUGAAAUAAUGAAAUCUCUAGACCAUCCCAAUAUCAUUAAACUUCUUCACAUAAUCGACACCACAAAAAACACUUACCUGGUUAUGGAACAUGCCAUAGGCGGAGAGCUGAUGGCCAGGAUUGUGGAGUUUGGCUACCUACCUGAGGACGAGUCCCGUAAGGUAUUUAAACAAAUGGUGUGUGCCCUUCAGUAUUGUCACAGGAAAGGGAUUGCUCACAGGGAUCUAAAGCCUGAAAAUAUUUUAGUGGACGGCAAAGGAAAUAUAAAACUCAGUGAUUUUGGGCUGGGCACCAAGCUUCCCAUGGGGCAGAAGCUAGCAUAUUUCUGUGGGACCCUUCCUUAUUGCGCCCCAGAACUCUUUGAAGGUGGAGGCUACGAUGGCCGAGCAAUCGACAUCUGGAGUUUGGGAGUUGUACUCUACUUUAUGUCUACAGGGUGCCUCCCUUUCAAGGGAACUACCUUUGGAAUGCUAAAGGACAAAAUCUUGGCAGGAAAGUACCCCGUUAAUUUCAAGCUGUCGCCAGAGCUUUGGGAUGUUAUUGCUAAGUUGUUAACCGUAAAUCCUGGAGAAAGACCAAGAAUAGGUGACGUUGUGGGCUUUCAAUGGCUGAAGCAUGGCAAUGAAGGUUCUCCCAAUCCCUUUAGAGAGAACAAUGAGGACAGCUACCCAGACCCCACUGUGAUGGUCAUCAUGGGCGUCAUGGGUUAUAAGCAAGGAGAGAUAAUGGAAGCUUUACGGGAGAAGAAGUAUGAUCAAGUGAUGGCCACCUACUUGAUUCUUAGGCAGCAGUCACCCUGGGAAGAUGACAUUAUAAAACAUCUUCGGCCCAAGCAGUCUGCUGGAACCUUGAACCUUACAGGCCUUCCCACAAUACCUAAAGUGACUAUAAAGAGGGGAUCUAGUGUCCCUAUCCUUCCCACUUCUUCCAUUUUGCCCACUCUACCUGAGAGUCCCGAGAAUGACAAAAAGGGGAAAACGAGGUACAGUAUGCCUCCCACCGUGAACUGCCCUGACAAGAAAACAGCCCCAGUUCACAGAAUCUGCCCCCAGCGUGUACAUGAGGCUACUUUCAUGAACAGCGCCUGGGGGGAUUCAGAGAGCACUAUUAACACCUCCGAUGAAAUAUGUACCACAGUGUCUUCAGCACUGGAAACUUAUUCCAGCAAGUUAUCCUGGAAUGUGUCCAAAGCUGGCCCUAACAAAUCAAAGAGCAAGGCGUCCUCACAGGAUGUUUUAUCUCAUCACACCCCAAUGGAGGAAGUUCAGUGCCAAGACGUCAACACACCAGGUGAAAUUAUUGGCUCAUCUCUCCCACAAACCUCACCUCAGGAGGACCUCAGAGGACAGCCCCACAGAGUGGCUACAGCUAGUCGGAGAGGUGAAAGGACCAGGUCAUCUCUCCUACAACCAGCACCUCAGGAGGACCUCAGAGGACAGCCCCACAGUGUGGCUACAGCUGUUUCAAAGAACAACAUGACCUCACAGGAUAGAUCACCCCCAUUCUCCAGCAAGGAGGCCCAGGAUGAGGGUCCGAUUGUACAAGAAAAAGACCUCAGCCCAUCCUCCCCAGAAACAUCCCAGGGACACCUCAGUGGCCGGUGCCAGACUGCACCCAGAGCCCCCUUUAGAAAGCGGAUUUGGAAGAGCCUACGGAGAAGGAUUAUAAAAGGCCUGAGAAGUUUAUGCUGCUGCAUACCAACAGAAAAGAGGGAGCGCCUAGGCUGCAACAAAAUCCUGCCUGUGACCUUAGAGGACCAUGGAGGGAGCCAAGGUAACAGUGCUGUUGGAGGCACUGUGCUCCCCCUAAGCUGAAACCAGAGAAUGGGGAGCAGCAUGCUGAGGAUGCACACGGGCGCUGGAGAGAGCCAGGUAGGUUCAUGAUGGCUGGUGGUGCCACAAUUGUGCCAGUAAAGUGAAGCACUCUGUGGGACCAGAAGUCCUUUAAACAAGGAUCCACGGAGUGCUGUGAUCAUUAGGAAAACAGGCCUCAGAGGACCUUCCAUGCACAGUGUGAUCGUCAUUCCAGCUACCUGUCUCCAGGUGUACCUGUGAGCCAUUAGAAGAGACAUCGGCACCAGAAGCAGAGGAGGACCCCAGAGGGCCUGCCCAGUUUGUAUGUGUUCACGAUGAAUAUUGCUGACCAGGUUGGAGCCAGACACAGAGGGACGAGUUUGCAGGGAGUGUCCAUCUUGUGCUCAUUUGGGAAGGUAGAGUGUGUGAGAACAGGUGAGUCCAUUAGUUAUGGUGCAGCUCUCAGCACCAUCCUGAACUACUAGACAGCUUGCUUCCCGUCCCCACCAGAUCCAGACACCUUCACAACUCACCCUAGCACUUACUGGUGAACUCCUUGUUGCUUUGCAACCUGAGUCAUAUGGAUGCACUCUUCUGUACUCUGUAUCUGAACAGACAGGGACACACACACACACACACACACACACACACACACACACACUCACACACAUACUUCUCCCAACGUACCUCAUGCACAGUUGACACUAGUGAAGUUUGCUUGAACUGGAGAGGACUCCUAUUCAAGCAAGAUAAUUUCAUAUUUCAUGUGAUUUCCCUCCUGGAAAUGCCUCAAAUCCCUCUAACUCAGCUUGUUCCUGUCUCUACCCCCAACACAAUCACUUACCACCCUGCUCUACUGCUUCGCAGGAGUCAUAUGAAGCCAACACAUGCCAUGGUGCACAUUUUGCCCCAGGGCAUCCGGUCCUGUGCAAGGUAAGGCCCACCAGCUGUGCUUUGAGUGGAAGCAAGGUGAAGUCUGGAGUGUUUGACAGUUGGAUUCAGAGAUGGAGCUGGUUCCAAGCGUGAUCGUGGAUAGAAUCUGUUGAUGGAAAAACAAUGGCAACCCCCGGCCUGACAGUGCGGGUGUUCCUCUGGGUGGCUCAUGGUCUCCUGCCAUAUUUCCACCUCCUAAGAUAUCUCAGAGACACCUAAAGAGAUUUAAGGGGUCAGAUUCACACCCCUCCUUAGGCCCACACUCUAGUACACCCCAAGACCACACUUUAGUACACCCCAAGACCACACUCUACUACACCCCAAGAUACUACUUUCAACAGUAUCUCACACAAAGAUCCCAGCCGUUUUCUUUCUGACAUCCUGUAGGGACAUUACCGUUGCUGAGGCUUUGUGUCCCCAGGCAGCAGGCUGGGAAAGUCCUUUGCUGCCUGUAUGACCCUAUGCUGGGGCUACCAAAGAGACUCCUGGGACUACACUCAGCAAGGGACAUUUUCAACUGGAUGGUGCUUAGAGCAGGAGAUGCCACUAAAGCCCUAACACACUGGAUGGAAGAGGGACACACAGGUCUCCUUGAUAAAAGAGGCUUCUUCUGAUUGACAGAGAAGUUGGGCCAGAGACUCACAAGCAGAUGGACUAAAGAGGAACAAGGGAAAAUGUCUACUGAUCCAGGUGAAGAUCAGCCAUGGAGGAUAUGCUCAGAGAGCUGGGCAUAAGAUUGCUCUGCAGAAGUGUUACCAAGAAAGACAGGCACCAGACAAAAAGAUAUACGGCACAAAUAGCUGAAUAAAGAGACUGUUUUCUUGCUACAAUAAAUUCCUUUGUAUAUUUGAACCACA